GCCGUAAACGAUGAGUGCUAAGUGUUGGAGGGUUUCCRCCCUUCAGUGCUGCAGCAAACGCAUUAAGCACUCCGCCUGGGGAGUACGACCGCAAGGUUGAAACUCAAAGGAAUUGACGGGGGCCCGCACAAGCGGUGGAGCAUGUGGUUUAAUUCGAAGCAACGCGAAGAACCUUACCAGGUCUUGACAUCCUUUGACCACUCUAGAGAUAGAGCUUUCCCUUCGGGGACAAAGUGACAGGUGGUGCAUGGUUGUCGUCAGCUGWGUGUCGUGAGAUGUUGGGUUAAGUCCCGCAACGAGCGCAACCCUUAUUGUUAGUUGCCAUCAUUUAGUUGGGCACUCUAGCGAGACUGCCGGUGACAAACCGGAGGAAGGUGGGGAUGACGUCAAAUCAUCAUGCCCCUUAUGACCUGGGCUACACACGUGCUACAAUGGGAAGUACAACGAGUCGCUAGACCGCGAGGUCAUGCAAAUCUCUUAAAGCUUCUCUCAGUUCGGAUUGCAGGCUGCAACUCGCCUGCAUGAAGCCGGAAUCGCUAGUAAUCGCGGAUCAGCACGCCGCGGUGAAUACGUUCCCGGGCCUUGUACACACCGCCCGUCACACCACGAGAGUUUGUAACACCCGAAGUCGGUGAGGUAACCUUUUU
rnacentral:rRNA from 1 species